rnacentral:piRNA from 1 species
UGAUCUUUUCAAAAAGCCGUGUGCUUAGCU